UUUCAUGGGGAAUCUAGAGGUGAGCUCGGAAACGCGAGGGGAGGCUUCGUUUGAGUGGGGAAGCAUUUGGAGACCGUUCGGAGAGGAAAAGCUCCGGUACCGUGAGUUGGAGCACGCGUGAUCGGCUUUCAGGUCUGAGUACUAGCUACCGACGUUGAUUCGAGCCAGCUGCGGUCGUGAUCGGAGGCAAGGGUGAGCACACAACGUCAUGGAUUUGCCCGUCUCCUUCUGUACUUACCUUUGCUUGUC